rnacentral:rRNA from 1 species
GAUGAACGCUGGCGGCGUGCUUAACACAUGCAAGUCGAACGGGAAACCUUUUAAUGAAGCUUCGGCAGAUUUAGCUGGUUUCUAGUGGCGGACGGGUGAGUAACGCGUGGGUAACCUGCCUUAUACAGGGGGAUAACAGUCAGAAAUGACUGCUAAUACCGCAUAAGCGCACAGGACCGCAUGGUCCGGUGUGAAAAACUCCGGUGGUAUAAGAUGGACCCGCGUUGGAUUAGCUUGUUGGUGGGGUAACGGCUCACCAAGGCGACGAUCCAUAGCCGGCCUGAGAGGGUGAACGGCCACAUUGGGACUGAGACACGGCCGAGACUCCUACGGGAGGCAGCAGUGGGGAAUAUUGCACAAUGGGGGAAACCCUGAUGCAGCGACGACGCGUGAAGGAAGAAGUAUCUCGGGAUGUAAACUUCGAUAAGCAGGGAAGAUAGUGACGGUACCUGACUAAGAAGCCCCGGCUAACUACGUG